AUCGACGACUCAGCUGCGCCAUAAGCACCCACACGAAUUGCUUGAUUCAUUGAAGAAGACGAUUAGAAGCAGCUUUAAGCUCCAAGCUGAUAGCUCAACGCUAGCGGCUACAAGCUCGAAAUUGGGUCUGUAGCUCAGUUGGUUAGAGCGCACCCCUGAUAAGGGUGAGGUCGGCAGUUCGAAUCUGCCCAGACCCACCAAUUUUGUGUGGGAAACGCCUGUAGAAAUACGGGGCCAUAGCUCAGCUGGGAGAGCGCCUGCCUUGCACGCAGGAGGUCAGCGGUUCGAUCCCGCUUGGCUCCACCACUUACUGCUUCUGUUUGAAAGCUUAGAAAUGAGCAUUCCAUUGAUCCUGACGAUCAGUGCCUGAAUGUUGAUUUCUAGUCUUUGAUUAGAUCGUUCUUUAAAAAUUUGGGUAUGUGAUAGAAAGAAAUAUAGACCGGGCACCUCUUUCACUGGUGCGUGUCCGGGCUAAGGUAAAGUUUGUGAAUGCAAACUUUCGGCGAAUGUCGUCUUCACAGUAUAACCAGAUUGCUUGGGGUUAUAU
rnacentral:tRNA from 1 species